AGCUCGCUUCGCUUUCUUCUCUUGCCAUUGGGCGAGCUUCCAUUGUCGAUCAACGGCUUUCUUUCUUGCCGAUUGGACGAGGCAGCGCCGUGAGCCAGCUGCGCUGUCAGUCAGGGAAACUGCUCGGGGAAGGAAGGGAAGAGGGAGGGGAGGGAAGGAAACAUCUGGCUGCCGCAGCCCGGGCCCCGUCUGUGCCGCCGCCGCCGCGCGUGCUCCUGCGCUGUGUGCGCUUGACUCCCCGCCCCCUGUCCCUCCCUCCCUCCCGCUCCGCCGGCCCGGGAUCCUCCGGGGCGCUGCCAUGGGGCGCCGCUGAGACAGCGCGGGGAGCCCCCCUCGCUCCCUCCCCUGCCUUCCUCUCCCCAUUGCCCCGCUCGGGUGGCCCCUCACUCACUCGCGGACUUGGAGCGAGGGGAGGAGGACGAACGAGCGGGACGCCGGGCGGGGAGACGGGGCGCCCGCAGCGGCGGAGGGGGCGGUGGCGGCCGAAGGAGGAGGAAGCGGCGCAGGGAGGAUCGCGGCUGGGACCUGGGGCCGCUCCAGAGUGUGAGUCCCGAGGGCUGACCCCGCGGGGACUGGGCGGAGAGGGGCGGCCGGGUGCGCGGAAGCCGUCCCGUGUUGCUAAGGAAGGAGUAAGAGCCGCAGGUUGCUUGUUGUGCUGGGGUUGCCGCGCGCGCGNACCGGGGACGAGGCGAGCAGAUCGGUGUCAGGAAGAGAGAAGGAUGCCUGGAGUCACCCAGAAGAGCCGCUUAAAUCUGCUUUUUUCCACCGAUCUAACAGACCUGGAGACAGCAAGACUCGGACAAAAGGACUUAAUCAGGUUUAUGUGUGCUAAAGGUAGGAACAGCAGGAGGCUAGCUACAGUGUGCUUCUUCUCUCUUGAUGUUUGUUUAUUUAAUUUCCAAACAAAAAUCCCAUUACUUGUUUAAUGAUGUUUAGGAAAAAAUAAGUAGGGUUCAUUGAAAAGGGAAUAACAAUUUCUAUUGUAAUUAAACUUUAAAUACA
rnacentral:lncRNA from 1 species